rnacentral:tRNA from 1 species
GACAGGGUAGUUCAGUUGGUCAGAACGGUGGGAUCAUAAUCCACGUGUCGGGGGUUCAAAUCCCUCUCCUGUCA